rnacentral:lncRNA from 10 species
AAGACAUUCACUACACCAGAGGAGACAAAGGAAGCACGUUGCUGUUAUUGCUGUUCAUGGCCUUCUUCCAACAGUAAGGGAAGCUAGUUUGAAGAUAAACUGUACAAAGGAAAGUAAAACAAGAGAAGUGCAGCGAAAUGGUGCCGGAGCCGUGAUGCAGCUACAACCUAGAGUUCUCACAAUCUCUUAAUUUCCUGCUGUCGGCGAUAAAUGUGAUCAUUUUGGCCGAUUUGGUUCAGUUUUUCUGUUCCGUGAAGCUGAAAGCAUCCUGACACAGGUAGCUGGACAGUACUGGACCCAUCACAAUUUCAAUACUGGGAAGAGAAAAGCCAGUCCUCUGGGGAAAGAUGAAGCACUGGACCUACAAACUAACUACUUUCAACCCCUGGAUGAAUCUAGGAGAUUAGUCCCGAUAUCAAGGCAAUGUCAAGAGUGAAGGGGAGGAUCAAGAUUUUUUUUGAGUGAUUGUUUCCUGGAAGGAGAAAAAAAAAUAACAAGAAAAUGACCAUGGAAAGUAACAACAACUGAAAACGGAUAAAAUGAAGAUGUGUGAAAGAGCACAAGAGUGCAAAACCAAAAGUAUACAAGGAGUGUUUAUGCAGUAACCACUUUAGAAUGCCUUUCCUCAUGUUUGAAGACUUCUAAACUAGGGCAAGGACAGAUCCCAGCAACUACUGGAAGCAUAAUAAAGGAGAAGAAUGAGGCAUUUUCUUCUCUCAUAUACAGAUUAUAUGUAAUUAGGAUGCUAAGGAUAAUUUUGUAACAUAAAAACGGAGAUGCUAAGGAGAAUGGUUUCACCCUAGUUUAUAGAAGGAGGGUAUACUAUGGUCUAUCAAAGACUGAAAAUUGUCCUCUGCUAAUAAAGUCUCAAAUCAGGGCAAUUGGAUUUCUUUCUUUUUUUUUUUUUAUUAUACUUUAAGUUUUAGGGUACAUGUGCACAAUGUGAAGGUUUGUUACAUAUGUAUACAUGUUCCAUGUUGGUGUGCUGCACCCAUUAACUCAUCAUUUACAUUAGGUAUAUCUCCUAAUGCUAUCCCUCCCCACUCUCCCAGCCCCACAACAGGUCCUGGUGUGUGAUGUUCUCCUUCCUGUGUCCAUGUGUUCAAUUCCCACCUAUGAGUUGAGUUAGAGUUACUAGUCUCAAAUAAAUGCUUGGUAAUGCCAUACAAUCUAAACAUGUUGUCACUGUCAACUCACUAUCUCAUAUUCUGCAAUGAUACCCUUCUAUAUUCUGAAAUUCCUUCCCCAUUCUCAGCAGAUAGCCUCAGAUCAUAUAUCAUACACACAAUUGAACAUAUCACAUAGAAAUUUCAUCAGCUCACUGCCUCCAAUCCAAUGAACCUAACAUCUACUAACAUCAACACCAUCCAGGAAACCAUGACCUCACCAGAUGAACUAAAUAAGGCACCAGGGAAAAAUACCAGUGAAACAGAGACAUGUGACCUUUCAGACAGAUAAUUCAAAAUAGCUGUGUUGAGGAAACUCAAAUUCAAGAUGAUACAGAGAAGGAAUUCAGAAUUAGAUAAAUUUAACAAAGAGAUUGAAAUAAUUAAGAAUCAAGCAGAAAUUCUGGAGCUGAAAAACGCAACUGGCGUAUUGAGAAAUGCACCAGAGUCUCUUAAUAGCAGAACUGAUCAAGCAGAAGAAUGAAUUAGUGAUGUUGAAGACAGACUAUUGGAAAUGCACAGUCAGAAGAGAAAAAAGAAAAAACAAUGAAGCACGCCUACAGGAUCUAAAAAAUAGCCCCCAAAGGGCAAAUCUAAGAGUUACUGGCCUUAAAGAGGGGGGGCUCAACACCCAAGUACAAAAAGGUUAGAGAACACCAAGUAGAUUUAAUCUAAAGAAGACUACCUUGAAUCGUUUAACAAUUAAACUCCCAAAGGUCAAGGAUAAAGAAAGGAUACUAAAAGAACCAAGAGAAAAGAAACAAGUAACAUACACUAGAGCUCCAGUACACCUGGUAGCAGACUUUUCAGUGGAAACCUUACACACCAGGAGAGUGACAUGGCAUAUUUAAAGUGCUAAAGGGUGGAAAAAAAGCCUUUUACCCUGGA